UUUUUGCGUUAGGGAUUGAAACGGCAUCCUUUUUUUGCAAAUGGCCAUAUUGCAGAUGGCAAAAAAAGAUACAGAGCAAAGCCCGCCCGAAC
rnacentral:sRNA from 1 species